UGGGGAAUAUUGGACAAUGGGCGGAAGCCUGAUCCAGCAACGCCGCGUGAGGGAUGACGGCCUUCGGGUUGUAAACCUCUUUUCAGUACCGACGAAGCGAAAGUGACGGUAGGUACAGAAGAAGGACCGGCCAACUACGUGCCAGCAGCCGCGGUAAUACGUAGGGUCCGAGCGUUGUCCGGAAUUAUUGGGCGUAAAGGGCUCGUAGGCGGUUUGUCGCGUCGGGAGUGAAAACAGCGGGCUUAACUCGUUGCUUGCUUUCGAUACGGGGCAGACUAGAGGUAUGCAGGGGAGAAUGGAAUUCCUGGUGUAGCGGUGAAAUGCGCAGAUAUCAGGAGGAACACCGGUGGCGAAGGCGGUUCUCUGGGCAUUACCUGACGCUGAGGAGCGAAAGUGUGGGGAGCGAGCAGGAUU
rnacentral:rRNA from 1 species